GAUGAAGAACGCAGCGAAAUGCGAUAAGUAAUGUGAAUUGCAGAAUUCAGUGAAUCAUCGAAUCUUUGAACGCACAUUGCGCCCCUUGGUAUUCCGGGGGGCAUGCCUGUUCGAGCGUCAUUUCAACCCUCAAGCUCUGCUUGGUAUUGGGCACCGUCCUUUGCGGGCGCGCCUCAAAGACCUCGGCGGUGGCGUCUUGCCUCAAGCGUAGUAGAAUACACCUCGCUUCGGAGCGUAGGGCGUCGCCCGCCGGACGAACCUUCUGAACUUUUCUCAAGGUUGACCUCGGAUCAGGUAGGGAUACCCGCUGAACUUAAGCAUAUCAAUAAGCGGAGGA
rnacentral:misc_RNA from 1 species